rnacentral:rRNA from 1 species
UAGGGAAUCUUCCACAAUGGNGAAGCCUGAUGGAGCAACGCCGCGUGUGUGAUGAAGGGUUUCGGCUCGUAAAACACUGUUGUAAGAGAAGAAUGACAUUGAGAGUAACUGUUCAAUGUGUGACGGUAUCUUACCAGAAAGGUACGGCUAAAUACGUGACAG